rnacentral:snRNA from 1 species
AACUCUGUGCAGCAGUGGCAGUAUUGUAGCCAAUGAGGCUUACCCAAGGUGCAAUUAUUGCUAAUUGAAGAAUAUAUUUAUGCCCUAACUGGUUUGACUCAGUGGAUAGAGCGUUGGCAC